rnacentral:rRNA from 1 species
GACGAAGGCUGACCACGUUGUCGUGAAUCACUGGGCUUAAAGCGCACGUAGGCGGAUUCUUAAGUCAGGGGUGAAAUCCUGGAGCUCAACUCCAGAACUGCCUUUGAUACUGGGAGUCUCGAGUCCGGGAGAGGUGAGUGGAACUGCGAGUGUAGAGGUGAAAUUCGUAGAUAUUCGCAAGAACACCAGUGGCGAAGGCGGCUCACUGGCCCGGUACUGACGCUGAGGUGCGAAAGCGUGGGGAGCAAACAGG